ensembl:lncRNA
UGUGCCUAAGCAAACAUUUGGAAAAGCCAUCAGACUCACAGUAAAUUCAAACAAAAGUCCUGUCCGCCCAACACUGUCCAUCCUCACCCCAGGUGGGACUGAGGGUGGCAGUCCUGAGGUGUGCCUGGCAGCAGGCUUCUUACCCAAGGAUGAAGUCAUGAAUCUGACCCAGGUGAAAAAGGGUCCUUUAAGCCACAGGACAAUCACUGCAGCUUUGUCAAGUAGUAAUACCUUCUACUAUGCGGGAUACUCCGAAGACGGUAUAGAGAACUGUGAGAUGAUGAACGUUAAGGCUGAGAGAACGAAGAGUACCAGUGAUGAUGACGGAACAAAGAGUACCAGUGAUAAUGACCCUACCAAAGGUAGUGACAUAGCUGUUCCUACUUCGGUCGUUUGCAAAGAUGAGGAACCCCCCUCUGAUCAAACUGAUACCAACUAUCCCAAUUACACAAAGGUGAACUUCACAUCACUAGUUGUGUAUGGUUUAAGAGUUCUGUUUGCCAAAGCCGUGGCAUUCAAUGUGUUAUUUACUGUCAAGGCCCUUGUGUUCUAGACCUAUUUGGACUACACAUAAUCAGUUCUAAUUUCCUUCCACGUUUGGUUUGUCAAUAGCUUUUUUACAAAAUAUAAUUAUUUAGUGAUUUUCUCUGUGUUGAAUGCUGUAAUGCUCCCUGCUUGCAAUUUGGAAAUACUAGAGACACGUACUGAAAAACAUUUAUUGUGAAUAUUUCUAUUUACUUUUAUUAUUAUUGUAUUAUUUGUAUUUUAAGUACAUGAAUGCUUUGCAGUUUGUUUAGAAAUGUACAAAGCCUGCCACUAGAGAACCCUAACCACGUUUUCACCAGUACAUUGAAACAGUCAAACCAUAUUAACAGAUUAAGAUCUUUCAGACACCUUGACUUCCAAGAAAUGGCUCCAACUGUUACUUUAUUCGCAUGCGUGCUUGAGCAGUAAGAAGCAUGCAUUAGUGACAAACACAUAGAAUGGAUAUCAACAGUCUACACGUCCUUAUUGAAAAUGCAGCUGGUUUUUAUUUAAUGCUGUAAUCAAAACAAAUAAUUUCAUACUUUUUAGCCAACAACAUUUAAGUGAAUAACAUUUUAAUUUAACAUCAACCUAACCAACCUGCAUUUUAAAUUGUGCCCAGUAGUCAUGUUGAAAAGUAAUAUAAUUCUCUAACUUUCUGGCAUAGGGCAGAAGGGUUUGUGCCACAAUCUUCUUUUAAAUGAUAUCUGGAACGAUCCUGACCAGAGAC